GGCAUUUCUUACUCUUGAGUAGAAACGUGUUUUCAUCGGGCUUUCGCCCUUUGGUUCCACUGUUCCCUGCCCAAGGGAAUAAAUCUCCCUCCUCUUCUCCAGGGAAAGCCAACAGUCGCUCCAAAUGUUUACCAAAACAGCUCAUUUACUCAUUCAGCAUAUGUUCACUGAGUGUUUCCUAUGUGCUGGGUACUGUUCAGGACUCUGAGAUUACAACAUAACAGAUGUUGACACGAGUAUUUUCAACCUACUUGCAUUUGGUUUGGGCUUAAAUGUCACUUCCUUAGAGAACUCAUUCAUUUUCUUCAUGGCACUGGUUGGUAUCUCUUGCUGUUAGUUAUUUGUUUACUGUCCCUCUCCAUUAUACCUUAAAGCUCUAUAAGGAUAGAGAUUAUGCCAUAGGGUUACUAUAUCCAGUAUCUUAUACAGUGCCUAAGCACAUGGUAGGCACUCAAUAACUAUUGUUGAACAAAUGCAUGUAUAUCUCUGAGCUGUACAGAAAUGGGUGGGUACAUCUUAGAUGACCUUCUUGGCCAGUGGAUGUAGCUUUAGGAACCUGAAGCAGCAGAGUAACUCUGAGAGCUGAGUAUUGGUGAAUCCCAUUCACAGGCUUAAAGCAGAAACAUCAAGUUCACGUUGUUUUUCUUGAGUUUUUGAUUUCAGAAUGAAGAUGUGUUUGGGGAAUCAGGACACCUGCUCCCGUUGUAUUCAUCCCCCCCACCCCAAUGAAGUGAACUAGUAAGCGCCUGGCUGAUUGUAAGCCCAACACACUGUUCACUACCGACUUGUUAUUUGUUUUCAACAUACUCCACCAGGUUCACAGUUCAUGUUGUGAGUAUCACAUGUUUGUGUUUUAAGGAUAAAUAACUUUUUUUUUUUAUACGUGCUACACAUGCAGCUGUUAGUUUCAAUUCAGUAGCAGGAACAGGCCAAAGUAAAUGUUAAGUAAUUAGAAAACAAACUCAGAAACUCUGUCACAUGAACAGGUUAUUGGUGAAAAAAACUGCAAGAUGGCUCAGGAACAGGAGUCUUUCCCUUUAUAGGUUUCACAUCAAUACAGGCAGAAAUAAAGAAGUUGAUGAGUUUGAGUGGGGAAGAGGAUAUUGUGUAAGAGACAGACUCAGCUUGCCUCCCUUAAGAUUCCAGAUAAUCAGCAGAUUUAAUCCCUCAAACAAAGGCAGACUAAUUUGGUUAAACCAGGUUGGUGAAUUAUUGCAGAUCUGGCUGCUUCAGUUGGCAAGCAAUCAUUGAAGUGUUUUUUUUUUUUUAAGUUAACUUAUAGAAAGAGAUAAAAGACCUAUUGAAAACAAACAAAGGUAAAAUCUUCUCUAUUAUGAUUGCAAAAGAUAACUUAUUUAGAUGGAAAUAAGUGUAACAAAUAACUUACUUAGAAAGAUAACAGCUAUGCUUAUGACUGCUGUAUGGAAUCCUAGUUGGCUAGAUUUAGUUGACCCGAAUCAUUUAGCUCUUUGAAUCCAUAAAUUUGUUCUCGAAUAAUGUAGAAAUAAAUGUAUAUAGUUCUUUAAAACUGUGAAGUAGACAAAUGGGAGUUAGAAACAAUAAAUAAGGUUGAAUCAUAACCAUAUGUGUGCUGGUAGACUAUUAUCCAUUUCCCGAGGUUCUGUCAAAGGUAAACUGAUUAUGUAGCAAUUCAGAUUCAGUGCUUUUGGGGAAGUGUAGCAAUAACUUGGAUCAUUUAUAUUUGGAAUUCUAUUCAGAAGCAUGCUUUAUCUAAAUUUGCCUCAGUUGCCUGGUAGGUGAUCAAAGUUCCUUUUUAUUUGCCUGUAGAUUCUUUCCUUUCUUAGUAAGUAGGUGUACUAAAUCAUGCUUCUAGUAUCUUCAUACUCAGUAAAUACUUACUGAGUGUCUGCUAUGUCUCUGGCACUGUUCUAGGUGCUGGAAAAACAGAAGUGAACAACAACAACAAAAAAACCCCAGCCCUCAUAAAGCUUACAUUCUAAUGGAGGAGGCAAAUUACACACAAUGUAGUUUUAUAAUGUAUUAGAAGAUAUUAAGAAGGUUGUAAAGAAUAAAAAAGCACUGAAGGGACAUAGAAAGUUCCAGAGUUGGGUUGGAAUGUUGAUCAGGUAAGUUGGUCAGUCAGGGGCUUGCUGAGAAGAUGACAUUUGAGCCAAGAUUUAGAGAAGGUCAGAGAAAGAAGCCUGUGAGUAUGGGAGGAAAGAGUGUUCCAAUAGAUGCAAGGACAAAGAGGAAACACCCACAACAGCAAGGAUGCCAGUGCAUUUGGAAUAAAGGAAGCAAGGAGGACCCCUCAGAGAUGAAUUAAAUAAAAGAUAGGGACUGUAUAUAAGGGCUUUGCAAAUCAUUGUAAGGACAUUGGUUCUAAGUGGAAAGUUAUUGGAAGGUCUUGAGUAGUGGAGAGUUAGAGCCUGAUUGACAUUUUUAAAGGAUCAGUUUGUCUCUGUGUUGAGAACAGAUUGGAAGUGAGUUGGUAGCCGUUGCAACAAUUUAGGCAAGAUGACGCUGGCUCUGAUGAGUCUGGUAGCAGUGAAAGUAGAAAGUGAAAAGUAGUCAAAUUCUGGAUGUAUUUAAAAAAUAGAGCCAACAGAAUUUGCUGACAUCAUUAUUUAGGAAAAAUUGCCGGAUCUAGAAUUCAUAUUUGUUUCUUUUCUCAGUUUCCAUUACAGCUAUACUAAGGAUCUAGCCUAGAUUUGGCUUCUAGAUUCAGGAAGCUGAAUUACUUGGCAAUAAAGACUAUAAUUUAAAGUAGAUAAAUAUUCAAGAAAACUACAUAAUAUUUCUCAAUAUUUUUGCGCUAAUGUUAUAUUUAUCCUAAGAUAUUCAAAUAAAAUGGGAUAAAAGAUAAAAUGCAAACUGUCUUUUCUCUUACUUAAUUAUGUAGUAAAUAUUAUUUUUAAUGAGGUGUGGCCAGAAAGUUUAUUUUGAACUUCAUGAUUCUUCAUGUUUACCUAACAGUAAUAGAAUAUGUCCGUCUCGGAAAAUGCAAAAGAUCAAAGAGUUUCUUCCAUUUGGUUUCAAAAACAGGAAAAGAAUAAUAGUUGACAGUUUUCAACUUUUGAACUCUUACUAUCUCUUACUUAGUGUAUUUUUACAUUUCACUUUCAUGUUUAGCUUAAAAACCACUAUAACUUGCUUUAGUAAACAAGAGAUGAUAAAAGCAUUUUCUUGUGAUUAUGAAGUAAACAAAAACUUAAUUCCACUUAGGAAAAAAAUCCUUCAGGACAUAUAAGAAAAACAAAGCACUGAACAACUAUAAUUAUAGGGAAUGACAGACUGCGAGUAAGAGUGGUGUCUGCUGACUUCCUGGUUUGAGUGUCAGGAAAAUCUGAGAGAGAAUUUUAUGUGAGCUGCUGGAGGAAGAGGAAAAAGCAUAAAAUCUGUAGGUCAAUGUUUCCUAAAUUUCCUUAAGGUGUUACUAGAUGUCCUUUAAUAAAAAGGAAUUUUUAUUUAAAUAAAAUGGGAAACAUUGGGUUAAACCAAGUAGGCAUAUCCCUCAACCCCAGCCCCUCACCCUAGCCCAGGUCUCUGACUUCUCAGCCUUUAUUCAUCCUACAGAGAUACAGCCGUAGGGAGAGAUCUUUUACAAAAUGCAUGUCUGAGUGCUUUGACCGUUUGAAAAUGGGGUUUAUCUCUUUUCUUUCUAGUUUGAAGGGAUUCUUUAUACGUUCUGCUAGACAUAUGAAUUAAAAUUACUUUCUAACACUCUAUAUCUGUCUUCUCACACCCCUCUCCAUGGUUUUUCUCUAAAUAGAAAAAUAAUGUCCCUUUAGGUUAGAAUAGCAAGUCUAAGGAAAGAAUUUCAUGGAUAAGUCAAGGAAAAUAUUGUUCUUUUGUUGCUAAACUGACAACUUCCAUAGAAGCCAACAAAACCCCACAAUGAGACUGAAGGUACAGUUGAAUGCUGUAGUUUUGGCACUGAGGAAGACAAUAUUUACUAGUAUCACUUCAUCUUUAGGCUCUUAGUCAAAAUUGACUCCUAGGAUAAAACAGAGACCAUCAAUUAAAUACUUGAAGUUGAGAUGUGACCAACAGUGCACAUGUUUAAGUUAGUUACCCUUUUAGUAUUUUAUUAGACAGAUGAGAAAUAAAACAUGAGAGUCAACCAAGGCAGAGUUGAAAUUCUGUCUCCACCACCUAAUGGUGGAUGGAAUCUAGCUAAGUAACUUAAUUUUUCAGUUCCCUUAACUUUAAAACAGGGCUAAUAAUACUGACCUCCUUGGGUUGCUGUAAGGAUUAAAUAAUACCAAGUAUGAAAAGCACCUAAUUUAGCACCUGGCAUCAGUAGUUGCUAAAUAGCCAUGAUUAGUGAAAGGAGAAGUAGUGUCAGGCUCUAUCCUAGUGUUUUCAGCAUGUGGAUCAGACACAGGCACUUAUCCAUCAUUUCUAUUUUGUAAUCCACUCUCAAAGCAUUGAAUCCGUAAUGGAGAUGAAACAUUGAUUUAGGGGUCCACUAAGCAGUCCAAAGGCAGUAACAGAGCUUCUCUGGGAACUCCAGAGUUCACAUUCUAGGCUGAAUCCAAUCUUUUCUAUGGUUAUUUUAAGAACUUAAAAAAGUUAUUGUAAAAGUAAGUUUGGAAAAAAAUUUCCAUUAAAAAGAUAUUUUUUAAUAUAAUAGGGAAGAUCUUUAUUCGUAGGCCUUUUUCUUUUUCUUUUUUUUUUUUUUAAUGUCCGGAAUGAGGCUUGUGACUGCUUAGAAAAAGAUUGUUCAACAUCUCCACCUACUGGUAACUUUAAAUAAUAUUAUGCAAUUAGAGAGCUGGAAAUUCCUAGUUUUAAAGAUAUAGAGUAUUACUAUUAUUAAUAAUGAUAAUGGUUAACGUGUGCUGAGCACUGACAAGGUCUUUCAGACUUUCUCAAGAGUUCGAUGAGAUAGUAAAUUACAGAAUAAUAAACUAUAUUUUGAAUUGAGUCAAUAUAACCUAAAGAAGAAAUAAUAAUUUUUAGUGUUAUAAUUGGGCAAGAGAACAGACCAUUGGCACAAUCCUAAGAUGCUUUGGUCCACAGCAUCUUAUGCCUGUAAGAUUGCAACAACCUCCUAAAUCACCUCUCUGCCUCCAGUUUUUUUGUUGUUGUUGUUGUUGUUGUUGUU